UUAAAGCACGCUACCAUUUGGCAUGCCGCGUUCCUGAAGCAACCUCUCUUGGAAGAGCUACUGCCUUUAAUAAGCACAACGUGGGGGAGUUCUUUGAUAACCUCUCUAAAGUGAAGGACAGGUACAGCUUCCCUCCACACAUGAUGUACAACAUGGAUGAAACUGGUGUGACGACAGUGCAGACACCCAUUUAGAGAGAAUGAUGAAGGAGUCAUCCCUAGAGGUGAUGUGCUCAAGAAACUACCCACACCACAAAAACUUGGUGGUACAGCCAGAAGGGAGUAUAAAUUCACAUUCCCCUGCAGCAUUGACAAGUGGGAUGUUCAGUAGUAGGCCGAAUCUGUGAAGAGAUUCAGAUGCAGAUGAUUUGCUGCUCAUUUUUAAAGUGGCCUUUGAUGUUGUUAAAACUUUAAAUAAACAUUAAAUAAAUAAUUUUGUAUUGAA